CUUGUAUCACUAGCCAGCAUGGAGGUGUUUCCACUAUGGUGAACCAAGCAUCUACCAUGUGAACCUUUUACAUUCUUCCACUUCAUCCUGAAUCCUUUGAUGUGAUGACAUGCAUGGAGGGUUUUUAUGAGGAUCCACAACAGGAACAGGCAUCCAUCACCUUUUACUUUAUUCAGUGCUUUAAAAGAAGAGUCAGCCAUUCACCCAAAACAACCAACUUGGCACCUAAAUGAGAAAGGGAAUGGGUUAUACUUCCAAGCUUCACAUAGACAUUGAAUUCAUGCCUAGUUGUAGGCAUCCAAAUCCUGGAGAAAUGUUGGAUUCCAGGCAUUUUCUACUGGUUAAUAAGGACAGCUGGAACCUCUUGACAGGGUCUUAGCUAGAAUGUGGAAGCAGCCACCCAGCUGUCAAUGAUGCUUCAUGGUGUGCUGAGCAGUCCUUGGCGUGGGAUCAGUUGUGCAGCAGACAGCUAUUUCUUUCCCGUGACAAAGACCUCAUUUUCACAUCUUCUCCUGUGAAAUGUCCAGCUUGUAGUUUCUCAUUCCUCUCUUUUUAACAUAGGGAGAGUUUGGGAGCCAAGUUAUCAUAUUUUCAUUAGCUGAGUGAAACUGUCACAUAGCUAGUGAAGGGUUAAAGAAAAACAAACACCCCCUCAAGAUGUUCCUGGAAAACCUGUGCAGAUAAGCACAUGGGAAGCUCAGACAGCCGGCCUUCUGUUAAAUAUGUGACAGAAAUUUCCCAUCUCGAGGUAAGGAAGAUAGAGGCACAGUUAAAUUAUGUUUCCCGUGAGUGUUGCUAAGGCAUACUUACACAUAUUAUAUGAGGUAGAAAAUUAGUACUUUGAAUUGUUAUGGUUACAUUUGCAGUAAAGUGUAAGUGUUUGCAGUUUUUCAGAAGUUUGCCUAUGGUUUGUCAUGCAGUUCACCCACUGAGAAGAAAAUUUACUUGCUGUAAAAUAGCGAAACAGAUUGACGGCUACAACAGAAUGAUUGCAAACUCUACCCAGAGUCCUGUUUCUGGAAGAGAUGAUUAUUCUAGAGAUGAAAAGACUUAAAUGACAGCUCCAGGCUUCACAAUUAUCCGCUCUUCACCUUUAGAAAUAUUUAGGCCUGAUCUUUAUUACCCACUCAGCAACGAUAACAGCGGACUUGCACACAUUGGUGUCUCUGCCCCUCAAGAGUGUGCAUCAAGGCUCACCAUAACACACCUGAAAUAAGAUCAGGAUUUCAUUGAGAAUGACAAGUGUCUCCAGCAAUGGUAGAAAAGAUGCAGUAACCAGAUCUCAGAUAUUUUUAGAUAUAUAUGUAUAUAACUAUAUGUGUAUAUACUUAAGUAUUUUAAUUUAUGCAUGUGCACCUAUAUAUAUAUGUAUAUGUGCAUGCAUGUAUAAUGUAUGUAGGAUAUAUACUUAAAUUAGGUAGCCUCACUAGUAAGAAGUGUGAAGAAGGAUGAACUCUGGCAGCCCUCGGCAGUGGUGAUUUGAAUUUCUUCCCUUUCCCUUUCUUUGAUAUUGGUAACUAAGGCACCUAUUGUAGGCAGGCUGAGCACAGCCCAACAGCAAUUGCAAGGGGUUUUGAAUUGGAUAAUCAACUCUCACGCAUGCAAUAAAUUACAUGCUUUUUCUGUAUCUACACAGCACAUAUGUCAGGAAGAGGGGGAAAAAAAGGAAAUUAAUCAAAAUCUCUGACUGAGAGAAAGUGUUUCCUAAAUCUUAGUCGAUGUGCCAGAGCCUAGUAUCCCCAUCCUCACCCUGACACUCAAGUGAUCAGAGGAAUAAUUCAGGGGGACUAAAUUUCUCCUAAAGUCUUGACAAUUCUUUAGCACUGAAGAAGCCACAGCACCACAAACUCCUUUAAAUCUCUUUUUUUUUUUUUAAUAGAUCCCUGCUUUCCUGCCAAGGAAGGAAACAAGCAUAGCAGCUGUUUGGUACCUUUACACCAGUGGUACCACUCAGUCCCUUACACAAGUGCUGACCAGUCAUGAAUGCUGCUACCACCAUCACACCGUAAACUAGGGCAAAGCCCAAGAAUGGUAAAUUAAUGUGUCUAAAGCCACAGUGAAGUCUGGGUCACAGCAGAGAACCGAAUGUAUGUGACCCUAAAGACCACUGACCCAUUUUUCCCCUACUUGCAGUCCCAAGCAAAAGCACUUAAAUGUCAUGGGGGGGGGUGUGUCAGCUAAUGUGCACUUGGUGUGCACAUGUGUGUGAGAAUAAAAUGCCAU